rnacentral:rRNA from 1 species
GUGCACCAGGCGAGAAUAGUCUACAAUGGACGAAAGUCUGAUAGUGCGACGCCGUGUGUGCGAUUAAUUCCUUCGGGAUGUAAAAGCACUUUUCUAUGAGAUAAAAGCUCUUUAGGUUAAUAGCUUAUUGAGACGGAUAUUAUUAUAGGAAUAAGCUCCGGCUAACUCCGUGCCAGCAGCCGCGGUAAUACGGAAGGAGCGAGCGUUGUCCGGAUUUACUAGGCGUAAAGGGCCAGUAGGCGACUAAUUAAGUUAUAUGUUAAAUACCCACCGGCUCAACUGUGGUCCUCGCAUGUAAUACUGGUUAGAUAGAGUACUGUAGAGGAAGG